ensembl:scaRNA small Cajal body-specific RNA 11
GUGUCCUGGCCUAUGUUUGUGCUCCCCUGUGCUCAGCUGUGACAGGGUAGUCUGGCAGGAUGUACAGCAGUUUCCCUCUCAGUUUAGGAGGGCUGUCCUAAGAAUAGGGCUGGCUCUUAAAGGCACGAGAGGACAAU